AGUGCUCCUGCUGACCUUCCGUGUCUGCAGCCCGGCUUUGGACUGUGGAGAUGCCCUCAGCCUCUACUCAGUGGCUCCAGCCUCAUAUUUGCGUGCUAUACCUUUAACCUCAAGUCCUCUUGCUGCUAACUUAAGCUGCGACUGUCCAGGACCUGCACACACACACACAUGCACGCAUGCACACACACACACACAGAAGCCCCAGCUCCAGCCCCUCAGGAGGGGACUGCGUGGGAGGAAUGACUCCAGCAAGCCGGCAGCUGACCCGUCUCCUGCCUGCACGCCUCCCGCUGUGGUCCACUGCCGGUGGUCUUCAGCUCUCUCCUCGUCCCACCCCCAUGGUCUGCUGACAGCCCAGCUCAGUGCAUCCCUGCCAUCUCUGCUCUACCGCUGGUCCUCCCAACAACCAACUUACAGGUUUGGGGGCACACGUGAAGGUUUGACAUAUAGUAAACACAUGUCAUGGUGGUUUGUUGUACAGAUUAUUACAUCACCCAGGGUUUCACUCCCGUCACCCAGACUGGAGUACAAUGGUGCGAUCUCAGCUCACUGCAACCUCUGCCUCCUGGGCUUAAGCGAUUCUCCUGCCUUGGCCUCCCAAGUAGCUGGGAUUACAGGUGCCUGCCACCACUCCUGGCUAAUUUUUGUAUUUUUUGUAAAGGCGGAGUUUCUCCAUGUUGCCCAGGCUAGUCUCAAACUCCUGAGCUCAAGCAAUCCACCCGCCUCGGCCUCCCAAAUAAGUGGAAUUAUAGGUGUGAGCCACCACGCCGGCCCUGAUGUAUCAAUAUUAAAACAUUUUCUUCAGCCUACAA
rnacentral:lncRNA from 1 species